GAUCCUGAGCAUUUUUAAGGCAGUACUGUGCCAGGCCGUUCAGAGUUCUCGUUGCCUGCAGCUCAAGGUCAGGGUUGUGGCUCUAGCCACCUCUGUGGGCAGCCACUUGCCAGACCCAGCACUUUCUGGCUCCAGCCGAAGGUUCCACGGGCAUGGUCCCUCUGAUAAGCACGCCUCUUUGCCCCUUCCUUGGGAAAAUGGAUGCAUUUCGGCUAAUGGCAUAUUAAGUGACACUGAUGCACACUCCCGAACUGGGGACGGGACCUGGGGAAAAUCCAGAUUCCCACUGUCGCACAGGUCUGAGUGACGGGCGGGGCUCCAGAUCAAGAUGAGAGUCCACCGCAUACGAGCAGGAGCCAUGAUGAUUCCACGGAAAUGCCAGUCCCGGCCUCCGGGCAUAGGGUCCAGGUACGCACUGAAUGACAGCGAGCAGAAAGCAGUGUCCUUGCAGAACGGAGAGCAGAACCUCCCGCAUUACCCCAGAUUCCUAUCGAGCAACAUGUGGUCUCCUUUCUGGAACUCUUGCCGCAGAGCCAAUCGUCGCAAACGUUUACACUCUUCAUUUCCCUCCUGACCUUUCCUCUUUCUUGUUCUUGUCAAUUUUCCUUGGGAAGUGUUACCGUUUUGGUGGGGUGUGUGUGUCACGAAAGCACGUUUUGCAUCGCGCUGAAAAUUACGGCCGC